CUUUUAAAUAUGCUGCUUUCGUUGAAGAAUGUUAGUAAGAACUAGCGAUUUAAAUUAAUUAAUUACUAUCAAAAAUUGCUGUAUUUCAACAAUUGUGAAAUUUUACAUGCUUUAUAGCCGUCAAAUGAUAAAUAUACUAAUACUUUUCUUCUUAUAGAUGACUAAAAUACGGAAAUGAGUUUAAAACCCUUUUAUCGUGUAAUAUAAUAUUAACAUUAUUGUAGAGUUUAUUUGAUUCGAUUAAAUAAAAACCAAGCCAGAGCUUUAUUUUUCGUCGUUGCUUUAGGAAGCAGGCUACCAGACAAUCAGAUAUCGCCGAUACCUUAGAAUGAGAUUAAAAUCAAAGCACAACCGAUGAAAUGAUUCAUUUAGUAGAGGACUAAGGUAUUGUCCGUAAAUCGCCCAUGUGGCUUAACGUAGACUUUUCUAUAACUUCUCAGUCCACUGGUCGAUGGGAUAUAAUUUUGUUUCACUUCUAUAAUUUUAUUUUUGAUUAUAAAUAAUUGUGACAAGAAGAAAACUUCGUAGCUUUAUUCUCUCUUGUACUAUAUGAAAAUCCUAAGGGGUUUGCAAGAGUUCAUCCCUACAUUUGUCUCGAAAUAAAGGAGGCAUGUCAUUGCCGUCACACAAAAUGAAUAAGCAGAAUAUUUUGGUUUAUACCGAAAUUGCUCCUUGUAUGUAUUUUUGUAUGUUACUAAUAAAUACAUUUAAAAUACUUGGCUAGGCAGGCGUAGCAGAAAAAUAAUGUAAAAAUGUUGUGUAAAUUAUUGGCUGGGGUAAGAUCAGCAUUGCCAAAGUUUUCCUAAAAUAACAACACGAUAUUUUCGCUACAGCAAAUUCAAUUUAAUUUAUUAUAAUUGCUAAAUUGUAAUAUAAAUAUAUAAUUUUUAAUGGUUUGCUAUAACAAUUAUUACUUCUCGACUGGGCUGUGAAGGUGAAAUCCCUCUACUAGCCCCAUUUCAAGUGAGGUGAAAUCCCUCCGGGACACUACAUUUGACGGUGGUGUUGAUACCACGGGCGAGUAUACCUAUCGACGGCACACGAGCUACUUAAUUUUCUUUAGAUUUUCCUCGCCUUUUAUACAAUUCUGCGCGCAGGCAUAAUGUUAUUUAAUAAAAAUAAAUUAUUACCUUAAAAGUUUUCCUUAAAA